rnacentral:rRNA from 1 species
UACGUAGGGGGCAAGCGUUGUCCGGAAUUAUUGGGCGUAAAGCGCGUGUAGGCGGCUCGAUAAGUCUGCUGUGAAAGUCCAAGGCUCAACCUUGGAAUGCCGGUGGAUACUGUCGAGCUCGAGUCCGGAAGAGGCGAGUGGAAUUCCUGGUGUAGCGGUGAAAUUCGUAGAUAUUAGGAAGAACACCAGUGGCGAAGGCGGCUCACUGGCCCGGUACUGACGCUGAGGCGCGAAAGCGUGGGGAGCAAACAGG